UAAGGGCGCACGGUGGAUGCCUUGGCACUAGAAGCCGAUGAAGGACGUUACUAACGACGAUAUGCUUUGGGGAGCUGUAAGUAAGCUUUGAUCCAGAGAUUUCCGAAUGGGGAAACCCAGCAUGAGUUAUGUCAUGUUAUCGAUAUGUGAAUACAUAGCAUAUCAGAAGGCACACCCGGAGAACUGAAACAUCUUAGUACCCGGAGGAAGAGAAAGAAAAUUCGAUUCCCUUAGUAGCGGCGAG
rnacentral:rRNA from 1 species